rnacentral:rRNA from 1 species
AGCGUAGACGGAUGGACAAGUCUGAUGUGAAAGGCUGGGGCUCAACCCCCGGGACUGCAUUGGAAACUGCCCGCCUUGAGUGCCGGAGAGGUAAGCGGAAUUCCUAGUGUAGCGGUGAAAUGCGUAGAUAUUAGGAGGAACACCAGUGGCGAAGGCGGCUUACUGGACGGUAACUGACGUUGAGGCUCGAAAGCGUGGGGAAGCAAACA